GACGAACGCUGGCGGCGUGCUUAACACAUGCCAGUCGAACGGAAAGGCCCUGCUUUUGUGGGUUUCUCGAUUGGCGAACGGGGGAGUAACACGUGAGGAACCUGCCCUUGACUGUGUGGUAACUUCAGGGAACUGGGGCUAAUACCGGAUAGGAGCUCCUGCUGCAUAGUGGUGGUUGGAAAGUUUCGGCGGUGGGGGAUGGACUCGCGGCUUAUCAGCUGGUUUGGGGGGUAGGGGCGGACCAGGGCUUUGACGGGUAGCCGGCCUGGGAGGGUGAACGGGCACAAUGGGACUGCGAUACGGCCCAGAAUCCUACCGGAGGCAGCAGUGGAGAAUAUUGCACAGUGGGCGGAAGCCUGAUGCAGCAACGCCGCGUGCGGGAUGACGGCCUUCGGGUUGUAAACCGCUUUCGCCUGUGACGAAGCGUGAGUGACGGUAAUGUGUCAAGAAGCACCGGCUAACUACGUG
rnacentral:rRNA from 1 species